rnacentral:rRNA from 1 species
UACGUAGGGUGCGAGCGUUGUCCGGAAUUACUGGGCGUAAAGAGCUCGUAGGCGGUGUGUCGCGUCGGCCGUGAAAACCUGGGGCUUAACUCUGGGCGUGCGGUCGAUACGGGCAUCACUGGAGUUCGGCAGGGGAGACUGGAAUUCCUGGUGUAGCGGUGAAAUGCGCAGAUAUCAGGAGGAACACCGGUGGCGAAGGCGGGUCUCUGGGCCGAUACUGACGCUGAGGAGCGAAAGCGUGGGGAGCGAACAGG